GCAGUAAGGAAUAUUGGUCAAUGGAGGCAACUCUGAACCAGCCAUGCCGCGUGCAGGAAGACGGCCCUAUGGGUUGUAAACUGCUUUUAUCCGGGAAUAAACCUUUCUACGUGUAGAGAGCUGAAUGUACCGGAAGAAUAAGGAUCGGCUAACUCCGUGCCAGCAGCCGCGGUAAUACGGAGGAUCCAAGCGUUAUCCGGAUUUAUUGGGUUUAAAGGGUGCGUAGGCGGCCUGUUAAGUCAGAGGUGAAAGACGGUAGCUCAACUAUCGCAGUGCCUUUGAUACUGACGGGCUUGAAUAAACUAGAGGUAGGCGGAAUGAGACAAGUAGCGGUGAAAUGCAUAGAUAUGUCUCAGAACACCGAUUGCGAAGGCAGCUUACUAUGGUUUUAUUGACGCUGAGGCACGAAAGCGUGGGGAUCAAACAGGAUUAGA
rnacentral:rRNA from 1 species